rnacentral:ncRNA from 1 species
UAAAACAUUGUUCGUAGGCUAAGUAGCAUUAACCGGACGAUUUCAGAGAACUUGUGGUUAGUGAGAACAAGUAAUCGACUUUGAUGUGAAUCUACCUACUUUAUGAGAGCAAUCGGUAAUAACCGUUAUUUUAGUUAAGUGCAGUUUAAAAUAAGUGAUUCAACGUUUAUUUUAAAUUGUUAAAUAGGGUGGCAACGCGUAGACCACGUCCCUUGU